rnacentral:rRNA from 1 species
UACGUAGGGGGCAAGCGUUGUCCGGAUUUAUUGGGCGUAAAGAGCGUGUAGGCGGCCAUACAGGUCCGUUGUGAAAACUCGAGGCUCAACCUCGAGACGUCGAUGGAAACCGUAUGGCUAGAGUCCGGAAGAGGAGAGUGGAAUUCCUGGUGUAGCGGUGAAAUGCGCAGAUAUCAAGUGGAACACCAGUGGCGAAGGCGAGUCCCUGGAAAACUCCUGACACUGAGGCACGAAAGCUAGGGGAGCAAACAGG